rnacentral:rRNA from 1 species
GAGUUUGAUCAUGGUUCAGGAUGAACGCUAGCGACAGGCUUAACACAUGCAAGUCGAGGGGCAUCACGGGAGUAGCAAUACAACUGGUGGCGACCGGCGCACGGGUGAGUAACGCGUAUGCAACCUACCUAUCAGAGGGGAAUAACCCGGCGAAAGUCGGACUAAUACCGCAUAAAACAGGGGCACCGCAUGGUGAUAUUUGUUAAAGAAAUUCGCUGAUAGAUGGGCAUGCGUUCCAUUAGGUAGUUGGUGAGGUAACGGCUCACCAAGCCGACGAUGGAUAGGGGAACUGAGAGGUUGGUCCCCCACACUGGUACUGAGACACGGACCAGACUCCUACGGGAGGCAGCAGUGAGGAAUAUUGGUCAAUGGGCGGGAGCCUGAACCAGCCAAGUCGCGUGAAGGAAGAAGGAUCUAUGGUUCGUAAACUUCUUUUGCAGGGGAAUAAAGUGCAG